ensembl:lncRNA
UCUUCAAUAUAGCUGUGAAGCAAGUGGCACAGGAUUAUCAUUCCCAUUUUUUUUUUUACUGGAUCUGUAGUUUGUUUGUUUGUUUUUUUAAUGACAGGAAACAAAAUUCCUUUACCAAAGCAGACCAGCACCUUCUCUGUGACUUGCUUUCUUAUGGAGUUACCAUGGAAAUGAGAAGUUGGAUGUCUUGCCCAGGUCCAAGAGGUGGUAUAUGUGAGAGGAGAGACUUGAAACCAGUUGUCGCUAACCUUGAGGUAACUGAUGAUAUUUGCUGUGGAAGCCAUGAUUAAGUCUUCAGGAAGCAUCAAAGGAAGACAAAAUACAAUGUGAUUUCACAAAUCCGGAUGGGUGGAGCUUGUGUUUGGGUUUAUUGAUGUCAAGACCAAGACUGACUCAUUGAAUCCUCUUCAGAGUAACAGCCUUCUAUUUCCUUUUCUGUUCUGGAGUUUUCCUCCUGAUGAUUUCACUAUCUCAUCUGCUCUUGGAUCUCAGUGUAAUAGGAUAAACCUUCCAGGGGAACAUUGUGGUUUUAUGCAAGAAAUAAGUUUGACCUACCACAGGAUUUUCUAAGCUCUUGCUGAGGCUCAAAAAGAGAUUUGGAUUAUUUAGCAUAUAAUUCCUGUCCUCUCUAAUUCUAAUGUCAAAAACCUGACAAUGAAAUUAAUGUGAUGAGAAUAGCAAUAGAAGAUAAAAACAAUAACAACCCAAGCUAUCAAAUGGCCAUGUAAUGUUGGGAGCUGUCAGGCCAUGAUGUCUUGACAAGGUCAUUUGUGGAAGCCAAAAGAUCACAAAGUGGCUCCUUGGCAGGAUGGAAUUGCCCACUCAGCCCCCUCUGUAUGAUUUCUCUCAUCAAUAUCCCUUACUAAUGGAAUUGACAUGAUUAUUGUUCUCUUCCUAGUCUCAGAAGGAAUAAUAUGAGAGCAAAAUACUUACUAUUUCCCCAAAUACCACCAAAAGAUCAGACUCACAAAACCAAACUUAAAAGACUAUCGUGGGUUAACUUCUGCUUAGGUACAUAAUUCCCAGCAAAAGCUGUGCCCACAAAGCCAUGGCCAGAAAUCCCCUGCUCCCAUGCCCCGAAACUUAUUCUCCUAAGCCAGUACAUAAAUCAUUCAUAAGGAGAGGCCCAUAUAAUAUGCUUUAGCACACCAUGCCUCAUCAUGCCUCAGUGACUUGAUUUACCAACCAAAACCCUUCUUGGAAAACUCCCCAACAAACCCUAAAAAAUGAUUAGCACCUCUUCGAUUCCUCCACUUGAUUGUUGAUUGUCUAGAAUUUCUGAUUGGUCAUCUAUUUUUAUUAAAGGUAAUAAGUGAUUUUCCUUGAUUGUCUGUAAACCCAACCUCCUCACAGGGUUAAUGAGAAAAUUAAGUCACUUGUGACAAUAAUUUAUCUUGUCCAAAACCUUUGUGUAUCCUGUCAGAAUCAAUAGUUACAAUACAAGUGUAUAGAAUGAUUUCAGAAUGUUAAUCAAAUGAUGUUAAAAGUUAAUACAUCACUUACCCAAUUAUCUUUACUCAAACAUGUAUGUUGAAUAAUGUAGCUGUGUGCCAGGGAAAUGGGUAUAAAAAUAAAAGCUAAUAAAAUAAAUAAUUAACUAAUAAA